AUGACGUUGGACGAGUCUGGCGGCGGCCUCUACGUGCCUGGAGGAGGCCUCAGCCUCGUCUGCAAGGCCUCAGGGUUCACCUUCAGCAGCUUUGAGAUGUACUGGGUGCGACAGGCACCAGGAAAGGGGCUUGAAUGGGUCGCUGGUAUUAACAAAGCUGGUAGUUGGACAGGCUACGCGCCAGCGGUGCAGGGCCGUGCCACCAUCACGAGGGACAACGGGCAGAGCACAGUGAGGCUGCAGCUGAACAGCCUGAAGGAUGAGGACUCGGCCACGUAUUACUGCGCCAGAGGUUAUUGUAGCACUUAUUGUGGUUAUGAUGCUGAUUGCAUCGACGUCGCUGCUGGAUUUAAUGGGAUCAACAUGAGCCCAGACUGGCUGAUCAGAGCACAGGUGGCAUCCAUGUAA